rnacentral:misc_RNA from 1 species
AACGCAUCUUGCGCCCUUUGGUCACUCCGAAGGGCAUGCCUGUUUGAGAGUCAUUAUUGUUAAUCAAAACUUCAAGUUUUGGAUAUGGGGGGAUUUUGUGCUGGGUGAACCUGGCUCCUCUGAAAUGCAUCAGUGGGAGAGAACAUUUGUUCUUGGCUCUGGUUUGAUAAAAUAUCUAUGCCAUUGCUUUGACAAGCUUUUCCAUGAUUUCUUGUCUCAUUCAAAAACUUGACCUCAAAUCAGGUAGGACUACCCGCUGAACUUAA